UACGGAGGAUGCGCGCGUUAUCCGGAUUUAUUGGGUUUAAAGGGUGCGCAGGCGGUCUGUUAAGUCAGCGGUCAAAGCCCGGGGCUCAACCCCGGCCCGCCGUUGAAACUGGCAGUCUCGAGUUGGAGAGAAGUACGCGGAAUGCGCGGUGUAGCGGUGAAAUGCGUAGAUAUUAGGAGGAACACCAGUGGCGAAGGCGGCCUGCUGGACGGUGACUGACGCUGAGGCUCGAAAGCGUGGGGAGCAAACAGG
rnacentral:rRNA from 1 species